CUUAGCUAGUGGGGGGGUAUGGCUCACCAAGCGACGAUGCGUAGCCGACCUGAGAGGGUGAUCGGCCACACUGGGAAUGAGACACGGCCCAGAUUCCUACGGGAGGCAGCAGUAGGGAAUCUUCCGCAAUGGACGAAAGUCUGACGGAGCAACGCCGCGUGAGUGAUGAAGGUUUUCGGAUCGUAAAGCUCUGUUGUUAGGGAAGAACAAGUGCGAGAGUAACUGCUCGCACCUUGACGGUACCUAACCAGAAAGCCACGGCUAACUACGUGCCAGCAGCCGCGGUAAUACGUAGGUGGCAAGCGUUGUCCGGAAUUAUUGGGCGUAAAGGGCUCGCAGGCGGUUUCUUAAGUCUGAUGUGAAAGCCCCCGGCUCAACCGGGGAGGGUCAUUGGAAACUGGGAAACUUGAGUGCAGAAGAGGAGAGUGGAAUUCCACGUGUAGCGGUGAAAUGCGUAGAGAUGUGGAGGAACACCAGUGGCGAAGGCGACUCUCUGGUCUGUAACUGACGCUGAGGAGCGAAAGCGUGGGGAGCGAACAGGAUUAGAUACCCUGGUAGUCCACGCCGUAAACGAUGAGUGCUAAGUGUUAGGGGGUUUCCGCCCCUUAGUGCUGCAGCUAACGCAUUAAGCACUCCGCCUGGGGAGUACGGUCGCAAGACUGAAACUCAAAGGAAUUGACGGGGGCCCGCACAAGCGGUGGAGCAUGUGGUUUAAUUCGAAGCAACGCGAAGAACCUUACCAGGUCUUGACAUCCUCUGACAACCCUAGAGAUAGGGCUUUCCCUUCGGGGACAGAGUGACAGGUGGUGCAUGGUUGUCGUCAGCUCGUGUCGUGAGAUGUUGGGUUAAGUCCCGCAACGAGCGCAACCCUUGAUCUUAGUUGCCAGCAUUUAGUUGGGCACUCUAAGGUGACUGCCGGUGACAAACCGGAGGAAGGUGGGGAUGACGUCAAAUCAUCAUGCCCCUUAUGACCUGGGCUACACACGUGCUACAAUGGACAGAACAAAGGGCUGCGAGACCGCAAGGUUUAGCCAAUCCCAUAAAUCUGUUCUCAGUUCGGAUCGCAGUCUGCAACUCGACUGCGUGAAGCUGGAAUCGCUAGUAAUCGCGGAUCAGCAUGCCGCGGUGAAUACGUUCCCGGGCCUUGUACACACCGCCCGUCACACCACGAGAGUUUGCAACACCCGAAGUCGGUGAGGUAACCUUUAUGGAGCCAG
rnacentral:rRNA from 1 species